CUCCUGCUUGCCAGAGCCGCACAAAGAUAAUCGCUCAGGAAGUGUUUCAGCCAAUCCCCUGAAGCUUUACAUUCGGAUUUACCGAAGUAGCCAAUCCAGGAUUAGCUUUUAUUAGGAAGACAGAUCAUCAAGCUGAAGUGCCAAGCCCUUUCUGUGUGAGUACUGAGAGCCUGUCCUCCAUGUUUUAUAAGUAUUGACAUAACACUGUGUUAACAAUGCAUCCACAGAGCUUGGCUGAAGAGGAAAUAAAGGCAGAGCAGGAGGUGGUGGAGGGGAUGGAUAUCUCUACUCGAUCCAAAGAUCCUGGCUCUGCUGAACGCACAGCACAAAAAAGGAAGUUUCCCAGCCCUCCACAUUCCUCCAAUGGCCACUCCCCACAAGAUGCAUCAACAAGUCCUAUAAAAAAGAAAAAGAAGCCUGGUCUAUUGAACAGUAAUAACAAAGAGCAGUCAGAGCUAAGGCAUGGUCCGUUUUACUAUAUGAAGCAGCCACUCACCACAGACCCUGUUGAUGUUGUACCACAGGAUGGACGGAAUGAUUUCUAUUGCUGGGUUUGUCAUCGGGAAGGCCAAGUCCUCUGCUGCGAACUCUGUCCUCGGGUUUAUCAUGCUAAGUGUCUGAAACUGACAGCCGAACCAGAGGGGGAUUGGUUUUGCCCAGAGUGUGAGAAAAUCACUGUAGCAGAAUGCAUAGAAACACAGAGUAAAGCUAUGACAAUGCUCACCAUUGAACAGCUAUCAUAUUUACUGAAGUUUGCACUACAGAAAAUGAAACAGCCAGGGACAGAGCCAUUUCAAAAGCCAGUUUCACUGGAUCAGCACCCAGAUUAUGCAGAAUAUAUCUUUCAUCCAAUGGACCUUUGUACAUUAGAAAAGAAUGUUAAAAAGAAAAUGUACGGUUGCACUGAAGCAUUUUUGGCUGAUGCCAAAUGGAUUUUGCACAACUGCAUUAUUUACAAUGGAGGAAAUCACAAGUUGACACAAACGGCAAAAGUUAUCAUCAAAAUCUGUGAGCAUGAGAUGAAUGAAAUUGAAGUAUGUCCGGAAUGUUAUUUAGCUGCUUGCCAAAAACGAGAGAAUUGGUUUUGUGAGCCUUGUAGCAAUCCUCACCCUUUGGUCUGGGCUAAACUCAAAGGCUUUCCAUUCUGGCCUGCUAAAGCACUGAGGGAUAAAGACGGGCAAGUUGAUGCCCGUUUCUUUGGCCAACAUGACAGGGCCUGGGUUCCAAUAAAUAAUUGCUACCUCAUGUCUAAAGAAAUACCUUUUUCUGUGAAAAAGACGAAAAGCAUCUUCAACAGUGCAAUGCAAGAGAUGGAGGUUUAUGUUGAUAACAUACGAAGAAAGUUUGGGGUAUUUAACUACGCACCUUUCCGGACACCAUAUACUCCCAACAAUCAAUACCAAAUGUUAUUAGACCCUGCAAACCCAACAGCUGGAACUGCAAAGACAGACAAACAAGAGAAAAUCAAACUCAACUUUGACAUGACGGCAUCGCCCAAGAUUCUAAUGAGCAAGCCCAUGCUGAGCAGCAGUACCGGUCGCAGGAUUUCAUUGACAGAUAUGCCACGGUCACCCAUGAGCACAAACUCAUCAGUCCACACCGGGUCUGAUGUUGAACAGGAUGCAGAGAAAAAAGCAACAUCCAGCCAUUUUAGCGCAAGUGAAGAAUCCAUGGACUUUAUUGACAAAAAUACAGCUUCUCCAGCACCAACAAGAACGGGUCAAGCAGGGAGCUUGUCAGGCAGCCCCAAACCUUUCUCUCCUCAAGCUUCAACACCAAUUUCUGCUAAGAACGAAAGAACUUCCACUCCAGGAAGCAUUCUGAAUCUUAAUCUUGAUCGCAGCAAAGCUGAAAUGGAUCUGAAAGAGCUAAGUGAGUCAGUCCAACAACAGUCCACCCCGGUGCCACUCAUUUCACCAAAACGACAGAUACGUAGUAGGUUCCAGCUUAAUCUUGACAAGACUAUAGAGAGUUGUAAAGCACAACUUGGAAUAAAUGAAAUAUCUGAAGCUGUUUAUACUGCAGUAGAACACAGUGACUCUGAAGAUUCUGAAAAGUCUGACACAAGUGACAGUGAAUAUAGUGAUGAGGAUCAGAAAUCAAAGAAUGAUCAGGAAGAUGGAGAGGACAAGGAAGGUGCAAGAAGUGACAAAGAAUCAUUGACAUUGAAAAAAAAAUCUAAGCCCCCAUCUCAGAAUGAAGACAAGGAGGAACUUAAAUGCACAAGUCCAGAAGUGGAGAAAACAGAUGAUCCAGUUAAAGAAAAGGCAAUUACAGACACUGAAAAAGAGUUUUCUGAAAAGGGAAAAAGUUUGCAACAUCCUGCAAAAGAAAAACUGAAAGGUAAAGAUGAAACAGACUCUCCAACUGUGCAUCUAGGACUGGACUCUGAUUCCGAGAGUGAACUUGUCAUCGAUCUUGGAGAUGAUCAUUGUGGGCGUGAAGGACGGAAAAACAAGAAAGAAUCUAAAGAGCUACCUUCUAAACAAGAUGUUGCAGGUAAAACUCCACCUUCUUCCAGUGCAAGCACUCAGCCCCCAUCAGAAAGCCCAGUACUUACCCGCUCUUCAACGCAGACCCCGCCAGCUGGCGUGACAGCGACUACUAGUGCUACUUCUACUGUGAGUGCUCCCUCUGCAGCCACUGGGAGCCCUGUGAAAAAACAGAGGCCUCUCCUACCUAAGGAAACUGCGCCCGCUGUGCAGCGAGUAGUGUGGAAUUCCUCAAAUAAGUUUCAGACAUCGUCUCAGAAAUGGCACAUGCAGAAGGUGCAGAGGCAGCAGCAACAGCAGAACCAGCAGUCUCAGUCACAGCAACCUCAGUCCUCUCAAGGGACAAGAUAUCAGACAAGACAAGCAGUUAAAGCUGUGCAACAAAAAGAGAUCACCCAAAGCACCUCCACAUCAACCAUAACCUUGGUUACAAGUACUCAGCCUAUUUCUAUGGUUACGAGUUCUGGAUCUGCAAGUACACUUUCUUCACUUAAUGCAGAUUUGCCAAUAGCAACAGCUUCAGCAGAUGUAGCUGCAGAUAUUGCUAAAUACACUAGCAAAAUGAUGGAUGCCAUCAAAGGAACAAUGACUGAAAUAUAUAAUGAUCUUUCAAAAAAUACCACUGGAAGUACAAUAGCUGAGAUUCGUCGUUUGAGGAUUGAGAUAGAAAAACUUCAAUGGUUGCAUCAACAGGAGCUCUCAGAAAUGAAGCAUAAUCUAGAACUGACAAUGGCUGAAAUGCGUCAGAGUCUAGAACAGGAACGAGACCGUUUGAUUGCUGAGGUGAAAAAGCAGCUGGAAUUGGAAAAGCAGCAAGCAGUGGAUGAAACAAAAAAGAAGCAGUGGUGUGCCAAUUGCAAGAAAGAGGCCAUUUUUUAUUGCUGUUGGAAUACCAGCUACUGUGAUUAUCCCUGCCAACAAGCUCACUGGCCUGAGCAUAUGAAAUCCUGCACGCAGUCAGCUACUGCAACACAGCAAGAAACAGAUACUGAAAUUAGCACAGAAACAUUAAAUAAAUCAUCCCAGCCCAGUUCAAGUGUGCAGUCUACACCCACAGAAACAGCCAGCACCCCCAAGGAAAAGGAAGGUUCAACUGAUAAAAGCAAAGAGAGUGUUACAGACCCAUCAGUGUAGCUUCUGAUCUGGAUCUUUCGAUACAAGUUGCCUUCUGAUAAGCAAUACUGACUGCAGCACUUCCAAGCCCUUCUUGCCUGGGGGUUCAGAGGCCAAGCUCAAGACCUGCAUUCAAAUCAACUUACUUUAUCACAACAGACUGCCAUUAGGGUACCACAAUGUUCCAUAACACUGAUACAGCAAUUCACCUGGAUCUACAGUUAACGGAGCAGUGUGCAGUUACGAAAGCCUCCAUAGCAUCUACUCUGAUAGCAUUCAGUAGGCAAGGAUGAGCAAAUGCUCUCAUAAAAGGGACUUAACAUUGCAUAUACAGAAAAAUGUUUAUAGAAAAGAUUCUGCUUCAUAGGUAGGGCUUGACUAUUACCAAUGUCAGCAGCAUUUUUCUUCUGCCCUUGCAAGAUUUAUUAAAUGCAAAAUUUCACAGGGCUCUGAUCUUUCAGACCCUUUCACAUGAUCCCUCACAUCAGUAGGAGCCUGUUGUAUUUUUAAAUAUUAAAAGCAAACUCAUGUUUUUCAAUAGUAUUGUGAUUCCAGCAUGAUGUCUCAUUGAGAUAGUCCUCUAGAAUUGGGAAGCAUAGUAACCUAGAGAGCUGUGUUCAUUUCUUGACACUUUUGGUACUGUCUGGUGUUAGAGCUCUGGAUAUAACAUGUCCUCCAAGGGAGUAACUCGGGAAACAGUUUUGAAGAGGCAAAGAAGGAUGUGCUGUUCCACCGGAAUGCGUUGGUGAAGAUAAUUGAAUUUCUCUGGCUCGGUCAAUGUUCACGUGCAUUGUUUGUGGCUGCACAUCCUUUGUAUUUUGGGGGGAACAGGGGAUGGGAGAAAGCCAAAUUACCAGGACUUCUGCCAGGGAUUAUUCCAAUUAUACAAAUCUGGAAUUGCUUUCACAUAGGCUGAAACAUCAUGCUGUAUACAUUGAUCAUGUUCAUAAUUUGAAUUUUGUUUUAUUAACAAAGAAGUAACCUGUGAAUUCAUUAAGAUGCAAAUUUUUAACACAAACCAAACAUCCAACAUAAAUUUCAUAUAAUAAUAAUAACUAGGUGGAAUUUAUGUAAAAGCUGAGACUUCUACUGAGGUUGCCUGUGCUGUCUCUGCAGAUAGCAACAGGUGUGACAAGCAACCAGCCUAUAAAACUGGUCCAGGUACCGCAGACCACCACCUAUAUUCCAACUACUCAACCCACAAUUACCAUUCCUGUAGUGGUAAGUCCUUCUGCUGGGACAGUGGCAAUGAGAACUGGAGUUCAGUAUGUUCAGACCACAAUGCCAGUCCAAGUACGAAGAGUCUAACUGCUAACAAGAAGCCCAUACAAUUGUUGGAAUAAAUAAAUCUAAUAGAAAUGUGAAAAAUAAACACAGUUCUUUGGAUUAACCUCAAAGGUUCAGACUUUAGCUUUGUAUAUGUGUACAAAGCAUUUACUACACUACAUUAAUGUAAAGCAUUAGCACUGGCUUAAAAAAGCAGAGGACAGGUAAGAUCCAUGUUAAAUCUAUGCUUCUUUUGUAAAUAAUGUACAAUUUGUGGAUGUCAUUAAAGUUAGAGUACCAUCUCCUUUUUAUAUUUGUAUUGACUUUAACUUAUAAAGAGUGUCUGAAGUUGGUAAAGGAAGGUUUAAAAGAGCCUUAUCAGAAGCUAACACUGAAGACUGGUCUGGGGAAAUUGCAGCUGUGCAUCAAAUCACUUCAUGUUUGGUAAUCAGGAGAAUCUGAACAACUUGAUUUGCAAUUGGAUUGAGAACAGUUUCUGCACUUUGAAACUCUAUUAGAAUUUCCUUUUGUGCAACCAAAUGAUGAAGUGUAACCUUCAGUUAAUUGUCUUAGGCAAAUUAUGACAUUUCCAAUCUGUGGACCUGCAAUGCAUAAAGAAGGUAUUUACCUUGUUUUUUUUACAGUGACCAGAGUGUUAAAAUUUAUAUUGUUUACAGGA